rnacentral:rRNA from 1 species
UGCGGACAGUGCCUGGUGGGUAGUUUGACUGGGGCGGUCUCCUCCCAAAGAGUAACGGAGGAGCACGAAGGUGGGCUAAUCACGGUUGGACAUCGUGAGGUUAGUGCAAUGGCAUAAGCCCGCUUAACUGCGAGAAUGACGGUUCGAGCAGGUACGAAAGUAGGUCAUAGUGAUCCGGUGGUUCUGAAUGGAAGGGCCAUCGCUCAACGGAUAAAAGGUACUCCGGGGAUAACAGGCUGAUACCGCCCAAGAGUUCAUAUCGACGGCGGUGUUUGGCACCUCGAUGUCGGCUCAUCACAUCCUGGGGCUGAAGUCGGUCCCAAGGGUAUGGCUGUUCGCCAUUUAAAGUGGUACGCGAGCUGGGUUUAGAACGUCGUGAGACAGUUCGGUCCCUAUCUGCCGUGGGCGUUGGAAGAUUGAAGGGGGCUGCUCCUAGUACGAGAGGACCGGAGUGGACGAACCGCUGGUGUUCGGGUUGUCAUGCCAAUGGCAUUGCCCGGUAGCUAAGUUCGGAAUUGAUAAGCGCUGAAAGCAUCUAAGCGCGAAGCGAGCCCUGAGAUGAGUCUUCCCUGGCACUUUAAGUGUCCUAAAGGGUUGUUCGAGACUAGAACGUUGAUAGGUUGGGUGUGUAAGCGCUGCGAGGCGUUGAGCUAACCAAUACUAAUUGCCCGUGAGGCUUAACCAUACAACACCGAAGGGGUUUUGU